rnacentral:rRNA from 1 species
AACGAACGCUGGCGGCAGGCCUAACACAUGCAAGUCGAGCGCGCCCUUCGGGGUGAGCGGCGGACGGGUGAGUAACGCGUGGGAACGUGCCCUUUUCUACGGAAUAGCCUCGGGAAACUGAGAGUAAUACCGUAUACGCCCUUUGGGGGAAAGAUUUAUCGGAAAAGGAUCGGCCCGCGUUGGAUUAGGUAGUUGGUGGGGUAAUGGCCUACCAAGCCGACGAUCCAUAGCUGGUUUGAGAGGAUGAUCAGCCACGCUGGGACUGAGACACGGCCCAGACUCCUACGGGAGGCAGCAGUGGGGAAUCUUAGACAAUGGGGGCAACCCUGAUCUAGCCAUGCCGCGUGAGUGAUGAAGGCCUUAGGGUUGUAAAGCUCUUUCAGCUGGGAAGAUAAUGACGGUACCAGCAGAAGAAGCCCCGGCUAACUCCGUG